AUUGAACGCUGGCGGUAGGCCUAACACAUGCAAGUCGAACGCGAAAGUCCUUCGGGAUGAGUAGAGUGGCGGACGGGUGAGUAACGCGUAGGAAUCUAUCCUGUAGUGGGGGAUAACGUUUCGAAAGGAACGCUAAUACCGCAUACGCCCCAAGGGGGAAAGCGGGGGAUCUUCGGACCUCGUUCUAUAGGAUGAGCCUGAGUCGGAUUAGCUAGUUGGUGAGGUAAAGGCUCACCAAGGCGACGAUCCGUAGGUGGUCUGAGAGGAUGAUCAGCCACACCGGAACUGAGACACGGUCCGGACUCCUACGGGAGGCAGCAGUGGGGAAUAUUGCGCAAUGGGCGAAAGCCUGACGCAGCCAUACCGCGUGUGUGAAGAAGGCCUUCGGGUUGUAAAGCACUUUCAGUGGGGAGGAAAAGCUGGUGGCUAAUAUCCAUCGGCCGUGACGCUACCCACAGAAGAAGCACCGGCUAAUUCCGUGCUAGCAGCCGCCGUAAGAC
rnacentral:rRNA from 1 species